UAGGGAAUCUUCGGCAAUGGACGGAAGUCUGACCGAGCAACGCCGCGUGAGUGAAGAAGGUUUUCGGAUCGUAAAGCUCUGUUGUAAGAGAAGAACGAGUGUGAGAGUGGAAAGUUCACACUGUGACGGUAUCUUACCAGAAAGGGACGGCUAACUACGUGCCAGCAGCCGCGGUAAUACGUAGGUCCCGAGCGUUGUCCGGAUUUAUUGGGCGUAAAGCGAGCGCAGGCGGUUAGAUAAGUCUGAAGUUAAAGGCUGUGGCUUAACCAUAGUACGCUUUGGAAACUGUUUAACUUGAGUGCAAGAGGGGAGAGUGGAAUUCCAUGUGUAGCGGUGAAAUGCGUAGAUAUAUGGAGGAACACCGGUGGCGAAAGCGGCUCUCUGGCUUGUAACUGACGCUGAGGCUCGAAAGCGUGGGGAGCAAACAGGAUUAGAUACCCUGGUAGUCCACGCCGUAAACGAUGAGUGCUAGGUGUUAGACCCUUUCCGGGGUUUAGUGCCGUAGCUAACGCAUUAAGCACUCCGCCUGGGGAGUACGACCGCAAAGGUUG
rnacentral:rRNA from 1 species